CGCGUGCAGCCCCGGAGCCUGCAGCGGAGCUAGUCCCUGCCAACUUCGGAGCGUCCUUUCCCAAGCCCACCCUUGGCUUCCCUGAGACGGGCCGUCACGUUCCUCCUCGGGCCGCUGGCCGGUCAGCAGGAGGGGUGUCGCGCUUGGGCAGCCUCCCUGGUUUUAAAAACAACCUUCUGCAUGUGUCGCCACCUGGAUCAACAAGCCACAGCUCCUGUUUGCCGGGAGUACAGUGCGCGGGAAUCUUCCCCGCGCCCAGAAAUCCCAGUGUCCUGCUAGCGUCUCGCUGUGCACCGGGCCAGCCAGCCGCCAGUGACCCGGGAAUAUCGUGGGCCGCCUUGGUCCGAGCACAGCACAGCUCCAGCCUGUUAGGAUGAGACAGAAAUCAGAGUUCCUGACCACUUAUGAUUAUUAGAGAUCCUCUUCUAGAACUUCAUCAAAAGAGAGGUGUGAAACCUUCUGUCCUGAUCCAGUUCCAAUUUGGAUAAUUAAAUUAUGACUACUUAAUUUUUUCCCUCCUCGGAAUACUGGCAUAGUGCAUGGCAAUACUGCAGUCUGGAUGUGAUGAAUAUGUAGAUCACCAUGACUAGGUUUGCAUCUACUCAGUGCAAGAUGGAGAAGGGCAUUUACUAUUGCUAUUUAGGUAUCCCAGAAGCAACCAAGAACACAGUAGUAUCCUGAGACUGUGUAACAGACAUGAGAGUAGACACCCUUUAAGGCCUAAAGGUCUGGGUGAUGGCAUUGUGUGCAGCUGACGUAAAGAAGUACAGAUGCGUAUUUCCAUGCGUAUUGCUGGAGAAGGCUACAGCAUCUCACGGUUUCCCCAAGGUGACUAACAUAUAUGUAAACGGGAGGUGAGAUCAGCUUGAGGCUUGUGGGACAACAUGGAUGAGCAGACAUGAGGAGGAGACACAGUUGCCCAUCACAACCCUCUGAGUUCUCAAAAAUGACUGAGCAAAGCCCAUUUUGUGUGAUUCCACAGUCAGUUUUGCGAGGUCGCUUAAGUCAGCACUUCAUGAUCAGCAAUGUCAGUGGCUCUUGCCAGAUCUAACAGCAUUAGCGUAGUUGUACAGUAUUAAAUACUUUCUGAUGGCUUGAGCCUAGUCACAAUACAAUAUAGCCGUCACAAAGGGGAUCUACAUUCAUUACUGAGCUUCCUGCACUGAGAGUGUUGUAACGGCAAUGCAAUUUUACUGUGUGUGUAUGUGGGUUCACCUCUUAAGCCACUCCAUCUUACACUCUGAGUAACAUUAAUGGGUUAUGGUGGGAGCAGCAUUUAGACCUCUUAUCACCCUAAUCAGCUGGAGAAUGGAUUUCUAUGAUGUGUGAGACAAAGUAACAGAAGGAGAAUGGGAAGAAUCCUGGAGUACCUCCAAAAUGAAAAGUUCUUCAAGAGAUCCCCAAGGAUAAUUUGAUACAGGGAGCAAGCCCAGUGCAUUAAACUAUUUUAAGUUGUAUGAAAUGUCAGGCUUAGGCACUUUGACAGGAUUCCUUUAAAAAUCAGCCACAGUAGACUUAAAUACAUCCGUUACAUUACUCAGACUUUGGCAGACAGGUCCAAUGGCAGUAGCAAUGAGGGAAAAC